UAUGGCAAGCGGAAUAUCCCAUGUGUGUGUGAACUGUGAACUAUAUAUAGCUUUCAUUGCACUUCUUCACUAUCUUUUCUUUCUCCGACCAUUUCUCCAAUCUCUCUCUUUCUCUCUCUCGAUCUCUGAGAUACUCUAGGGUUUCCUUUCUAGGGUUUUUGCUUUUCUGGCCUUUUCUUCUCACAUAGUCACAUUCCUCGAAAUUGAUAUUGGCUUCUGCAAAUUAGUCGAGAUGAAGCUGACUGUAAAGACAUUGAAAGGAACCCACUUUGAAAUCCGGGUUCAGCCCGGCGAUACGGUUAUGGCGGUAAAGAAGAAUAUUGAAGAUGUGCAAGGAAAAGACAGCUACCCAUGUGGGCAACAGUUAUUGAUUCAUAAUGGGAAGGUGUUGAAAGAUGAAACUACAUUGGAACAGAACAAAGUCAGUGAGGAUGGUUUUCUUGUUGUCAUGCUUAGCAAGAGUAAAGCCAUGGGAUCAUCUGGGGCCUCAUCUACUCAGCCUACAAAAAAUGCCCCAGUAGCUGAACCAUCUCCUCCUCCUGCUGCAGCUGAGGUUCCUUCAGAGGCACGUGCCUCAACGAGCACUACAUCUGCUUCAGAGAGAGCGACUUCUGAGGUUCCUGCAUCUGAUGUCUAUGGUCAAGCUGCAUCCAAUUUGGUUGCUGGUAAUAAUCUUGAGCAGAUUACUCAACAGAUAAUGGAUAUGGGUGGUGGAAACUGGGACAAGGAGACUGUCACACGUGCACUUCGUGCAGCUUACAACAAUCCAGAGCGAGCUGUGGAUUAUUUAUAUUCUGGUAUUCCAGAAGCAACAGAGGUUGCUGUCCCAGUGGCUAGCUUCCCUUCUAAUCAGGCAUCUGGUGGGGCUAAUCCCACAAUUGACACUGGUGUAGCAGGGUCUGCACCUCUAUCUGGAGCACCUAAUUCUUCUCCUCUAAACUUGUUUCCUCAGGAGACACUUAAUCCCAGUGCUGCUGCUGGUGGAUCGCUUGAUUUCCUUAGAAACAGCCAGCAGUUCCAAGCAUUGCGUUCAAUGGUUCAAGCCAAUCCACAAAUUCUACAGCCAAUGCUCCAGGAGCUAAGCAAGCAAAAUCCUCAACUUCUGAGACUAAUUCAGGAGCACCAUGCUGAGUUCCUUCAGCUAAUUAAUGAACCUCUUGAAGGUUCUGAAGGAGAUCUUUUUGAUCAGCCUGAGCAAGAUAUGCCCCAUGCUAUCAGUGUGACACCAGCCGAACAAGAGGCUAUUGAACGCCUUGAAGCAAUGGGGUUUGAUAGAGCCCUUGUCAUUGAAGCAUUUUUAGCUUGUGACCGUAAUGAGGAAUUAGCAGUCAAUUACUUGCUGGAGAAUGCUGGUGAUUUUGAAGACUGAAAGGUUGUAGUUCCUUAGUAGAAAAGUCAGAAUUGAACUAUGGAAUCUGAGCCUCAGGAAUGAAGUAGGGUGUGGUGGAUCAUAUCAGAUAGCUUUCAGGGGAUAUGACCAUGGUGUCGAGAGUUUUUUGUGGAAGCGGCACAAUAUUCCCCCUUCACAAAAUUCGGAAGCAUUUAGCACAUUGGUCCUGCAAUUCCGGGUUUUAUUUGGAUGGUGAUUUCACUUGGGUACCUUCUGAUCCAUUAACGUGAGAGCCUUCUGAGUCUGCAUGGGGAAAGCUUAUUUGGAUGCUGCAGUGGAACCGUACAAUGCGUUUAAAUUUAUCCUUGAUUCUUUCGUGGUGUUCAUGCGUGUCCUAUGACAUGGGGAAUUGCCACUCUCUCUGAUAAUACUGAUAAGACGUGAUUUUUUUCUUGUGUUUUUUCUCCUUUGGCAUCUAAUCUGUGGCUCACAAUAUUUGUCAUACAUAUUAUAGGCUGCGUUUGGUUGGACGCAAAAUAAAACUAAAGGAAAAUGAAGGGGAUUGAUUAGGGCACUUUA